AUUGAACGCUGGCGGCGUGCUUAACACAUGCAAGUCGAGCGGCAGCGCGGUAGCAAUACUGGCGGCGAGCGGCGAACGGGUGAGUAAUGCUUCGGAAUCUUCCUAGUAGUGGGGAAUAACCUGGGGAAACUCAGGCUAAUACCGCAUACGAACUACGGUUGAAAGCAGGGGAUCGCAAGACCUUGCGCUAUUAGAUGGGCCGAAGUCGGAUUAGCUAGUUGGUGAGGUAAAGGCUCACCAAGGCGACGAUCCGUAGCUGGUCUGAGAGGACGACCAGCCACACUGGGACUGAGACACGGCCCAGACUCCUACGGGAGGCAGCAGUGGGGAAUAUUGGACAAUGGGGGCAACCCUGAUCCAGCGACGCCGCGUGUGUGAAGAAGGCCUGCGGGUUGUGAAGCACUUUUAGUGGGGAUGAAAAGCCGAGGGCUAAUACCUUUCGGUCUUGACCUAACCCAAAGAAAAAGCACCGGCUAACUCUGUGCCAGCCGCCGCAGUAA
rnacentral:rRNA from 1 species